ensembl:lncRNA
CAGCAAGUUAGGUGGGACUAGGAGUUGAGGAGGAUUCUGGGAAAUGUAGUAAAAAGAAGUCUUGUGAUACAGGCAGGAAGUGACAUAGCAGGCAGACUCAUGUAAGCAAGGACAAGAAGGAAGUUGCUCUCUCUCGCUCUUCCUCUUCCUCUCUGUGGAGUCGCCAUGUAACCACCAGGAAGACAAGACACAAGGCCUGCUUCCACCAUAAGAGCUUCAUCCAGUGGCUGAUGGAAGCAGAAGCAGACGCCCACAGCUAAACACUGAGCUGAACUCUGGAAUUCAGUUGCAGCGACGGAGGAAUGAUGAACAAAGGGGUCAAGACCAGGCUGGAGAAACCCACAGAAACAGCUGGCCUGAACAAGGGUUACUCAUGGGCCCCAGAUUGAUAACUGGGAAACCAGCAUAGGACUGAUCCAGACCCUAUGACAAGGAUGUAAACUGAAUGUAUGUUCCCUAUUCAGCUAAAUGAAGACACUCUUCCCUGUGCCACAGGAAGACUCCUUGAAUUUCUGUAUGGAUUCCCACUCCUAUCCAAUACCACCCUUUGCAAAGAGCUCCCUUUCAACAUAUGGUGCUGGCACACAAAGACACAUGGAAGCCCAGAGACUCAUCUAGCUAACUGCUACCUCUGUGGGUCUGUUUCUGAGCCCAGUGAAUUUCCUGAGGCCAACAUUGCCUUUACCAUGACUUUCCAAACAAUUCCAAAGCAUAGUGCUAAGGCCAUCUACUGAGAAGAGAAGGAAAUACUUCAGAAAAACGAUGAAGGUCGGGGCAAAAUUAAUAAGGGGAAUUUUACAAGGGUAACAGAAGGAAAAACCUUUUUUACAGGACAAGGUGUGAUUUCUGGAGGUGAAGGAUGUGAUUCCUGAAGCGCCCUUUCCUUCUCAGCUCCUAGGAACAGAAAAGACCAUCUGUCCGAUGUUUUGUUAUGUUUUCUUUGCUACGGGCUUUCAGUGUUCAGAAAAAAAAUCUCCUGGUCACUACACUUUGUCAUCAAGUGAGAGAGCACACACAGCACCAAGAACAUCACUCCUUGAUGAUGAAAAACCAAGGAAUAAGAGUUCAAAAGCCUGCCUCAAAGCCACAGGAAAGGCAGUUACAGAAGCGGGCUUCUUGACUCUGCUAUCCACAAAGUCAACACAAACAGUCUAGAUUUGUUAUCUCCUCCCUUCUCCGAGGCUGAGUGACAAACUGAGAUACUGUCAUGAGAGCACAGGAAGUCCAUUCCCCAGGCCAGCUGUGAGAGGGCAGCUGAGCAGGAGGCCAGAAAGCAAGUCAGCACAGAGUUCUUCCCACCUCCGCUCCGUCUGACCCCUCCAUGUGGCCCAGAGUCCGCCAAUACCCAGAAGAGGCACUGCUAAGGCUGUGGGAGGGCGCCAGCAGCGGUGAAGUUCACUGAACCGGUCACUUUCUGAGCAUCUUUUAGCAAAGAAAAGGCUGGGGCUCAAGGGGGAUGGUGUGACUCGUCUACUGACAUUUCGGAUUAUUUCAUUUGGUAACUCACAGAUAACUUAUAUCGUUAUUUAUAAACUCUGUUUAUAAACCGUACAAAUGUUCCAGGAAUCCUUUCUGACACAGGACUAAGUUCAGUCAAUCCAGUUCUUUGAAACAUGUUAACACAGUUCUCAAGGAAUGCCAGCUAGUCACGUGUCACAUUCGAAGCUUCAAAUGUUCAAAGUGAAGAAAAGUUGUAUCCAAACAGGUUCAGUAUGAAAACGGGCCAUAUAAGGAAGAACUAUUUCUACGGAAAACCACACCCACGGCUGAACUCCCUGUUAUAACAGCCAAGACAGUAUAAGUGUACAAAGUGCACUGAUGCAACUGUGGACCACAAACUUGGAUUUAUUUGUAUUCACUGUGAAUACAACAGCAACAAUGACUGGUGUAGUGGCAUGCUUCUCCUGCAAAUGGAAUUUCACUGUCUUCCUGUAGACAUACCUCUCUUUCAUUGUGAGUCUCUAAAUGCAAACAGAUAAUCUCUAACAAAAUCAGGAAAAAAAAGAAAUCCAUCAGUCAUAAGACAAUAAACAUCUCAAAGUACAAUCCAUCGUUUCUCAGCAACUACUAAACUGUGAGCAACAAUACUUUUAAAAGAUUUGAGUCAUCAAAAUAGGUUGUACAAUGGGAUGAUUUUAUAAAUUAAAAUUUAUAAAAAUGUAAGACUGUUUAUAUUUAAAUUGAUUGGAAUAUGUAUAGUAUGUGAAAAUCAGAGAGAUCCUAUAAUAUGUUUCUUUCUUGACUCUUGGUGUACAUAAGGUGUGAAGAAUCUAAUUUCUAGAAAGGCAUACUGUGACUUCUUAGAAAAUAUUUUUGUCAGAUUUUUGAAAAUUCUAGAGUGACUUCUACUAUGCUUUUCAUGGAAAAUAGAUCCUGUUCUCAAUAUUAGGCAUUUAUAAAACAAAAAACAUCAUUACAGAUAAGAAUGGUUUCACAUCUUUACAAAUGUCUAAUCGUUGACAAAGAAAUCAGAAGCUGGCCGGUCUUAUCUGGAGAGCACCCCAAAGAGUGAAAAGCUGCAAACUGGUCUUUCUGAGGAGCGAAGACCACUUUUAUGGUGGCAAAUGCUCUCGACGGGGUUCCUAAAUCAAGAAACUGGAGAAGAAGUGCUGUGUCAUCAGAAUUCCAAAAUUUGGGUCUCUGUGUGUGCAAGCAUGGACCCAAAGCCGCAAAGAGCAGACGAAAGCAACCGCUACCUGUAGACUCAACUGAGCCAUUUGAUCAACACUUUAGAAACCGCCCCAUGAAUACUCUAAAGUCAUUUUCCUUUCAAAAACAGGGAAAAACAGAUAAGGGGCAUCUGCAGCAUCAAGCAGAUUGGAAAAUGAAAAGUUCAAAGAAGAAGGAAAAAAAAAAUACUGACGAAAGCCGAGUUUAGUUGUUAAAUCAUCCAACUUGCUUUGCCAAAUUUUGACAUGCUUGGUUUCUUGUAGUUAAAAUAUAAAUAUCCUCUCUCUCUCUCUCUCUCUCUCUCUCUCUCUCUCUCUCUCUCUCUCUCUCUCUCUCCCUCCCUCCCUCUCUCUCUCUCUCCUUUGAAAAAAAGUGAGGAAAAUAAGCAGCUGUUCCUUGUAUAGUUCAGGAAACAAGUUUGAUUUAUUACUUUAAGGUUAUUUUUGAAUGAGCUGCUUGUGGCAGGCAGAGCGCAGAAGUCACUGAGGCCUGUCCACUUGAAGGGCUCAAACUGUUUCCUGAACAGCCCUCCUUCUCGCCUCACCUCCGAGGGCUAUUAUUGACAACGUGUGACUGGGGCCUUCCAGGAUUUUAAAACAGCAGGGGUCCCGGCUGAACAAUCGGGCUGUCAAUUACCUUUUCCCCUGUGGUGAAAGAGGGGCCCAGGACAAUGCAACUUCUCAGCAGGGAGCCGUGCAGCCCAUAGUUUGUAACCCACUCUUGCACAGCUCCGCAUUGAAAACCCAGUAAAUGGUUGGUGCCUUCACUUUUGUCUGUGUGUGUCAGUUCAAACCAGAAUUGCUGCAAGGUGUAGGCAUCUCCAUGGAUGGGUUUUCAAGGUCUCGCCAGGGCAAACAGAUUCUGGACAAUGUUAUCUCGGAACUUCGAAGUUUUCUUUUUGGUCCACACAGACACAAAGAGCCUCCCGGCUGCCGGCCCAGUGCUGCCGGCUCGUCCGGCCACAACACCCAGGCCUCUCUACCUAUAUUGUGGCUUAAAAAACUUCCUGUGAGCAUUGAUGACUUGCUGUGAGGACUGUCCAUCAUCCUGCCCCUUUGUCUGGCAGUCACUUCCAUUCGAAUUUGACUGACUGAGGCAGCCUGAGUCAUUUGUAAAGAACAACAAGGCUUUUCAUUCAUAAUUUUAGUAGGGGGACGGGGUGCUAAUGACUGGGCUUGAAUAACUAGGGAACGAGGUAUUCACGGCAGGAAGAUGCACCAUCGGCUGCCAAAGAGGAUGGAGAAGAUGCGGGCAAGGUGCAUGGGUAAAAAGCCAGUGGCCGGAGGAUCACAUGUGUAUACAAAUACAAAUCACGGUUUUAUUAAAGCAUGGAGUAAGAAGGGGCUCGUGAAAACAAACGAAUGAAUAACUCUCUUGCUGACCAUCAAGGGAGGUCAAUGAUAGGGAUAAAAAUGGUCUGUGAUCUCUGGAGAAUUCUUGCCCACAAAACACUCAGUAUGAAUUGACAGAAAUGUGUCCUAACAAAGGACAUAGUCAGCAAGACAAAACGACAGCCCACAGACUGGGAAAAGAUCUUCACCAACCCCACAUCUGACAGAGGGCUGAUUUCCAAAAUACACAAAGAACUCAAGAAGCUAGUCACCAAAACACCAAACAAUCCAAUUAAAAAAUGGGGUACAGAACUAAAUAGAAAAUUCUCAAUAGAGGAAUCUAAAAUGGCUGAAAGACACAUGAGAAAGUGUUCAACAUCCUUAGCCAUCAGGGAAAUGCAAAUCAAAACAACUCUGAGACACCAUCUUACUCCUGUGAGAAUGGCCAAAAUCAAAAACACCAAUGACAGUUUAUGCUGGAGAGGAUGUAGAGAAAGGGGAACACUCCUCCACUGCUGAUGGGAGUGCCAACUUGUACAGCCACUUUGGAAAUCAGUAUGGCGACUCCUCAAGAAAAUGAGAAUCAGUCUACCACAAGAUCCAGCAAUUCCACUCUUAGGCAUAUACCCAAAAGAAGCACAUUCAUACAACAAGGGCAUCUAUUCAAUGAUGUUCAUCGCAGCAUUAUUUAUAAUAGUCAGAACCUGGAAGCAUCCUAGAUUCCCCUCAACUGAA